rnacentral:rRNA from 1 species
UACGUAGGGUGCGAGCGUUAAUCGGAAUUAUUGGGCGUAAAGCGCACGUAGGCGGUUCGUUAAGUCGGAUGUGAAAGCCCUCGGCUCAACUGAGGAAGUGCACCCGAAACUGGCGAGCUUGAGUACGAAAGAGGAUCGCGGAAUUCCCGGUGUAGAAGGUGAAAUUCGUAGAUAUCGGGAGGAACACCGGUGGCGAAGGCGGCGAUCUGGGUCGAUACUGACGCUGAGGUGCGAAAGCGUGGGGAGCAACAGG